rnacentral:rRNA from 1 species
CCUACGGGCGGCAGCAGUGAGGAAUAUUGGUCAAUGGUCGGGAGACUGAACCAGCCAAGCCGCGUGAGGGAGGAAGGUACAGAGUAUCGUAAACCUCUUUUGUCAGGGAACAAAGACUGGGACGCGUCCCCGGAUGAGUGUACCUGAAGAAAAAGCAUCGGCUAACUCCGUGCCAGCAGCCGCGGUAAUACGGAGGAUGCGAUCGUUAUCCGGAUUUAUUGGGUUUAAAGGGUGCGCAGGCGGUCUGUUAAGUCAGCGGUGAAAGCCCGGGGCUCAACCCCGGCCCGCCGUUGAAACUGGCAGUCUCGAGUUGGAGAGAAGUAUGCGGAAUGCGCGGUGUAGCGGUGAAAUGCAUAGAUAUCGCGCAGAACUCCGAUUGCGAAGGCAGCAUGCCGGCUCCACACUGACGCUGAGGCACGAAAGCGUGGGUAUCGAACAGGAUUAGAUACCCUAGUAGUC